UCUCUCUCUCUCUCUCUCAACUCUGCUCCUCUUCGCCAAUCUUCACCACGUCUGCCCAAACUCUCAGCUAACCAUUUUCAUCAUUUUUCCUAAAUUUUUCCUUCCAAUCUUCACCACGUUUGCCCUGAACUCUCAAGUAAUCAUUUUUCAUCAUUCUUCCUGAAUUUUACCCUGUAGGUUUGUGCUUUUGAAUGAGAGAAGAUGUUAAAGGUAGAAAAGAACGCACACCUGAGAGAUUUUUACUUUUGCUGAUUUACCUGCACCUGAAUUACAAUGGGUGGAGACGCCACCAGCACUGGUACCUCAUCUUGAUGAAGCAUCCAUACAGAUUAAAAAACUUUUAUAUGUGUUUGCAGGAUAUCGCACACUUGACCAUGUGCACUCUCAUGUUGACAUACACAAUUUCACUAGUAAUACAUGGGGAGGGAGGUUUGAUUUGCCCAAAGAGAUGGGGUAUUCACAUUUAGUUUUGUAUAGAUAUUUUCAGAUAUUUUAUGUUUUUUACAAUUCAAGGCGGCUCUAAUUGAAAUGCAAUUAACUAUUUGAUGAAAUGCCUCUAUGAGCUAUCUAUUUAACUGCAAGAGUUUUAGGCUGAGGUUUUGAGCUACUUUACACAGUCAUUGAUGUACAUUCAGUACAAGGAAAAAAAUUCAAGUCCAUGAGAGAUUAGGAACUAAUUUUUCAUAGCUUUAUACACUGCAAACAAGAGUCAGGCUUUGCAAUGUCUACCUCAUGUUGUGUUUCCUGUGGUUGAUAUCGUAAAUAAGAGUCAGGCUUUGCAUUAACCUGAUGAUGAUGAUGAUUAGAUGUUCGGUAGCAUGAAAAUAUAGUAUGGUUCCCUUUUUUUUUAUAUAACUACUUGUAGAGGUAUAAAAUGUAACAUGUAAUUACUUCUCAAAAAUUUCAUGCAAUUGAUAUGUGAAAGGGACUAGCUAAGCCAAUUACACAAGUGACGAAAGAAUUGUUUAGCUGAAACCCUGUAUGACCAAACUUUGCACAAAUGCAUGAUCCUGCAUUGUUAGAAUAGCUACACAAUAUCCAUGAUGCUGAGUAGUGGUUUGGGAAAAAAAAUUAUAAUUUGAAGUAUGUUUCAUUCCCAGUUUGCUUGAGGGAUUAACACAAUCUAUUUUUAAAAUUCAUAGGGUGUUAUUGCUUAAACUUUUUUCUUGUUCAUCCCCCAUGAAAUUCAUUUCCUAGUGCAUUUUAUGGUCUUACUGAUGCUAUUUGGUAUAUUUAAUCGUUUACUAGUUGGAUUAGCACCAUGUUGUCUGUUUUGAGUUUGUCUUUAUUUUUUAUUUUUGUUUUCAUUUGUGGGUUUGUAAUGCAAAUUAUGUGUUUGAUGAAAUGGUACUAUGAACUGUCUAUAAGUUGUAAAGUAAUAAGUAAUUGAUUUGAUUAAUAUGAGAAUAUCUGUAAAGUGUGUUACUUGAACUAAGUAGCAAGUUUUUGAUACGCUAGUGGGUUGGUAAUUCAUAGCAUGCUUUUCUAGUAUUGAGUUUCGAAUUGCUUCUUUUUCAAACGAUUUGCUUCUCAAAUGUGUUUCAAUUGUUGUAAUAUGUGAUCACAAGCAAGAAAUAAAAUUGUGAGGUUGUGAAGACAAAUAGAAGACAAGAACUAAGAGAAGUUCUGAAGUAUAGACUUACUACUGAUAAAGACUAGACUUCUGUGAUGGUGAUAUUUAGAUGAUAUACAUCCUAAAUUUGGCUUGACUCAUUCUUUUGUAUUUAAUAGUGGUGAUGACUUUUAUUCUUAUUGAUGGGACAAGCUGAUGAUAUGUAAUUAUAUUUACUCGGACCUCUAUUCUUUUUUGGCUAAUAGUCCUUGUAAUUAUUGUAUAAAGUUUUGACUUA